rnacentral:rRNA from 1 species
AUAAUGGGUCAGCGACUUAUAUUCUGUAGCAAGGUUAACCGAAUAGGGGAGCCGAAGGGAAACCGAGUCUUAACUGGGCGUUAAGUUGCAGGGUAUAGACCCGAAACCCGGUGAUCUAGCCAUGGGCAGGUUGAAGGUUGGGUAACACUAACUGGAGGACCGAACCGACUAAUGUUGAAAAAUUAGCGGAUGACUUGUGGCUGGGGGUGAAAGGCCAAUCAAACCGGGAGAUAGCUGGUUCUCCCCGAAAGCUAUUUAGGUAGCGCCUCGUGAAUUCAUCUCCGGGGGUAGAGCACUGUUUCGGCAAGGGGGUCAUCCCGACUUACCAACCCGAUGCAAACUGCGAAUACCGGAGAAUGUUAUCACGGGAGACACACGGCGGGUGCUAACGUCCGUCGUGAAGAGGGAAACAACCCAGACCGCCAGCUAAGGUCCCAAAGUCAUGGUUAAGUGGGAAACGAUGUGGGAAGGCCCAGACAGCCAGGAUGUUGGCUUAGAAGCAGCCAUCAUUUAAAGAAAGCGUAAUAGCUCACUGGUCGAGUCGGCCUGCGCGGAAGAUGUAACGGGGCUAAACCAUGCACCGAAGCUGCGGCAGCGACGCUGAUGCGUUGUUGGGUAGGGGAGCGUUCUGUAAGCCUGUGAAGGUGUGCUGUGAGGCAUGCUGGAGGUAUCAGAAGUGCGAAUGCUGACAUAAGUAAC